rnacentral:tRNA from 1 species
UCUAAUAUGGCAGAUAAAUGCAAUGAAUUUAAGAUUCAUUAAUAAAGAGUAUUCUUUUUUUAGAA